rnacentral:rRNA from 1 species
AGCAGUCGCCGCGGUAAUACGAAGGGUGCAAGCGUUAAUCGGAAUUACUGGGCGUAAAGCGCACGCAGGCGGUCUGUUAAGUCAGAUGUGAAAUCCCCGAGCUUAACUUGGGAACUGCAUUUGAAACUGGCAAGCUAGAGUCUUGUAGAGGGGGGUAGAAUUCCAGGUGUAGCGGUGAAAUGCGUAGAGAUCUGGAGGAAUACCGGUGGCGAAGGCGGCCCCCUGGACAAAGACUGACGCUCAGGUGCGAAAGCGUGGGGAGCAAACAGGAUUAGAUACCCCGGUAGUCCCUGUCUCUUAUAC